rnacentral:rRNA from 1 species
UACGUAGGGUGCAAGCGUUAAUCGGAAUUACUGGGCGUAAAGCGUGCGCAGGCGGUUUUGUAAGACAGAUGUGAAAUCCCCGGGCUCAACCUGGGAACUGCAUUUGUGACUGCAUAGCUAGAGUACGGUAGAGGGGGAUGGAAUUCCGCGUGUAGCAGUGAAAUGCGUAGAUAUGCGGAGAAACACCGAUGGCGAAGGCAAUCCCCUGGACCUGUACUGACGCUCAUGCACGAAAGCGUGGGGAGCAAACAGG